GUCAUGUUGACACUGGUCUACUACCAGGUCAUGUGUCUUCUCAGUCAUGUUGACACUGGUCUACUACCAGGUCAUGUGUCUUCUCAGUCAUGUUGACACUGGUCUACUACCAGGUCAUGUGUCUUCUCAGUCAUGUUGACACUGGUCUACUACCAGGUCAUGUGUCUUCUCAGUCAUGUUGACACUGGUCUUCUACCAGGUCAUGUGUCUUCUCAGUCAUGUUGACACUGGUCUACUACCAGGUCAUGUGUCUUCUCAGUCAUGCUGA